UAUGUAAAUUCUUGCUGAUGGGCUGUCAUUGGAAUUGCCUGCCUAAAGGCUAUGGGUAUAUCCCAUGAUCUUAAUAAAAGGGAUAGCAAGGCC